GUGCGAGACCGAUAGCGAACAAGUACCGUGAGGAAAAGAUGAAAAGAACUUUGAAAAGAGAGUUAAAGAGUACCUGAAACUGCUGAAAGGGAAGCGGAUCGUAUCCAGUGUCUAUAAUCUGCGGCAUAUUUCAUUGGCGGCGGUGCGCGUGCUUUUGCGUCGGAAGCGGCUUUUGUUGCUCUGUGCUUUUGCUGUGCGUGGUGUUGCUGGUGCCCUGUGUUGCGGUGGGACGUCAGAGUCAGUUUGUAUGCUGCGGGAAAUGGCUGCCGAGGAGGUAGGUCGAGAUUUCGGUCUUGGCUGUUAUAUCUUGGUGGUUUGUUGUCGUGGUUGAGACUGAGGUGCCUACAAUGUGCUUUUGAGUGUACCGGGUUCUCAUUUGGUGGACUGUUUGGAUAGCUUGCUAUGCUUGUGGUUUUUUCAUCGGGUGAUUGAGUCUGGUGGUAACUUGUUGCUGUUCGGGACUUUGA
rnacentral:rRNA from 2 species